rnacentral:rRNA from 1 species
AUUGAACGCUGGCGGCAUGCCUUACACAUGCAAGUCGAACGGCAGCACGGGAGCAAUCCUGGUGGCGAGUGGCGAACGGGUGAGUAAUAUAUCGGAACGUGCCCAGUCGUGGGGAUAACGUAGCGAAAGCUACGCUAAUACCGCAUACGAUCUAUGGAUGAAAGCGGGGGAUCGCAAGACCUCGCGCGAUUGGAGCGGCCGAUAUCAGAUUAGGUAGUUGGUGAGGUAAAGGCUCACCAAGCCGACGAUCUGUAGCUGGUCUGAGAGGACGACCAGCCACACUGGGACUGAGACACGGCCCAGACUCCUACGGGAGGCAGCAGUGGGGAAUUUUUGGACAAUGGGCGCAAGCCUGAUCCAGCAAUGCCGCGUGCAGGAUG